UGGCGAUCUUUAUCUGUUUCAUGGUCC
rnacentral:piRNA from 1 species